UAUUCCAAUUUCUUUGCAGUCUGUGAAGAAUAGAAGCAUAGAUGGAUUGAAGAGAGGUUCUGUUUUGACUUUUGACUCAAGAAAAGUCGCGCGAGUAGGGUAUAAAUAAUUUUGUUGGUCGGGUCGGGUACGCGUGUGUUUUUUUAGUUAAAUGGGUAAUUUUAAUUGAUUUGAGAUUUUUCGACUAUAUUUGUGCAUUUUGAGUAACAGAGGGUAUAUUUGAUUACAUUGGCUAGCGGUUAGUCAACAAAUUAAAAUAGAGGGUGAAAAAUAGUAGUAUUUGAUUUUCAUGAGCAAAAGCGUACUAAGUAGAAAUGAAGGGACUAAAAUUGGUUAGUUUUCAAACUUGAGGACUCUUAAAACCUCCACCAACUCCAGUAAAAGCAAACACCUCACCGCUGUUUCUUUGCCGGAAGCCUUCUGUUAGAACUCAACUCUCUUUCUGUUAUGGGUUUGGAAGUUAAUCUAGAAAAAAGCAGAAUUUUCAGCAUUAAUGCAGAUGAUUGCAUAGAGGAACUAGCUGACAUCCUGGGUUGUAAGGUGGAAAGUUCCCCACUGUUUAUUUGGAGCUUCCACUAGGGGCAAGAAGGAAUGAUCAGCCUAUCUGGCAAGGUGUCCUUGAUAGAUGUGCUAGUAAACUUUCUCCAUGGAAGCAACAAUAUCUAUCUUUUGGUAGCAAAUUUACUCUUGUUAACAGUGUAUUGGAGGGUACGCCUACCGAUCUAAUGUCCCUAUUC